CCGGUCUUGGUCAACUGGAUAUUCCAUUUCUGGUUGUAGACCAGAUGGUUGGUGUUGCGGAACGGAAGCGUGUAGUUCGGAUCCUUAAAACUCGCC
rnacentral:tRNA from 1 species